AUUGAACGCUGGCGGCAUGCUUUACACAUGCAAGUCGAACGGUAACAGACCGCAAGGUGCUGACGAGUGGCGAACGGGUGAGUAAUGCAUCGGAACGUGCCCAGUCGUGGGGGAUAACGCAGCGAAAGCUGCGCUAAUACCGCAUACGAUCUAUGGAUGAAAGCGGGGGACCGUAAGGCCUCGCGCGAUGGAGCGGCCGA
rnacentral:rRNA from 1 species